UACGUAGGGUGCGAGCGUUAAUCGGAAUUACUGGGCGUAAAGCGUGCGCAGGCGGUUUUGUAAGCCAGAUGUGAAAUCCCCGGGCUUAACCUGGGAAUGGCAUUUGGGACUGCAAGGCUGGAGUUUGGCAGAGGAGACUGGAAUUCCUGGUGUAGCAGUGAAAUGCGCAGAUAUCAGGAGGAACACCGGUGGCGAAGGCGGAUCUCUGGGCCCUACCUGACGCUGAGGCGCGAAAGCUAGGGGAGCGAACAGG
rnacentral:rRNA from 1 species